AGGUCAUUUCAAAAAGGGCUUUGUGGAACUAAAACCAAGGGCUCUUAACUCUGUGACCAAAUAUUAGAGUUCUCCAUAGGAUGUAAUAGUGCUAUGUUUUCCUGAAGAGAUACAAGA
ensembl:snoRNA small nucleolar RNA SNORA25